rnacentral:rRNA from 1 species
GACGAACGCUGGCGGCGUGCUUAACACAUGCAAGUCGAACGGAAAGGCCCUGCUUUUGUGGGGUGCUCGAGUGGCGAACGGGUGAGUAACACGUGAGUAACCUGCCCUUGACUUUGGGAUAACUUCAGGAAACUGGGGCUAAUACCGGAUAGGAGCUCCUGCUGCAUGGUGGGGGUUGGAAAGUUUCGGCGGUUGGGGAUGGGCUCGCGGCUUAUCAGCUUGUUGGUGGGGUAGUGGCUUACCAAGGCUUUGACGGGUAGCCGGCCUGAGAGGGUGACCGGCCACAUUGGGACUGAGAUACGCCCCAGACUCCUACGGGAGGCAGCAGGGGGGAAUAUUGCACAAUGGGCGGAAGCCUGAUGCAGCAACGCCGCGUGCGGGAUGACGGCCUUCGGGUUGUAAACCGCUUUCGCCUGUGACGAAGCGUGAGUGACGGUAAUGGGUAAAGAAGCACCGGCUAACUACGUG